AUUGAACGCUGGCGGCAUGCUUUACACAUGCAAGUCGAACGGUAACAGGCCGCAAGGUGCUGACGAGUGGCGAACGGGUGAGUAAUGCAUCGGAACGUGCCCAGUCGUGGGGGAUAACGCAGCGAGAGCUGUGCUAAUACCGCAUACGAUCUAUGGAUGAAAGCGGGGGACCGUAAGGACUCUCGCGAUUGGAGCGCCCGAUGUCAGAUUAGGUAGUUGGUGGGGUAAAGGCUCCCCAAGCCAACGAUCUGUAGCUGGUCUGAGAGGACGACCAGCGACACUGGGACUGAGACACGGCCCAGACUCCUACGGGAGGCAGCAGUGGGGAAUUUUGGACAAUGGGCGCAAGCCUGAUCCAGCAAUGCCGCGUGCAGGAAGAAGGCCUUCGGGUUGUAAACUGCUUUUGUACGGAACGAAAAGGUUUGGGUUAAUACCCUGGGCUGAUGACGGUACCGUAAGAAUAAGCACCGGCUAACUACGUGCCAGCCGCCGCAGUAAAAC
rnacentral:rRNA from 1 species